rnacentral:rRNA from 1 species
UACGAAGGGGGCGAGCGUUGUUCGGAAUUACUGGGCGUAAAGGAUGCGUAGGCGGACAUUUAAGUCAGAUGUGAAAUACCCGAGCUUAACUUGGGUGCUGCAUUUGAAACUGGGUGUCUAGAGUGCAGGAGAGGUAAGUGGAAUUCCUAGUGUAGCGGUGAAAUGCGUAGAGAUUAGGAAGAACACCAGUGGCGAAGGCGACUUACUGGACUGUAACUGACGCUGAGGCAUGAAAGCGUGGGGAGCAAACAGG